GUUGGUCUUCUUCAUGUUAGUCUACAUCUUCAUGUUGGUUACAGACCAACAUGAAGAUGUAGACCAGCAUAAUGAAGAUGUAGA
rnacentral:pre_miRNA from 1 species